GCCUGGGUGGCUCAGUCGGUCGAGCGUGGGACUUUGGAUCUCAUGGUCCGUGGGUUCAAGCCCCACAUCAGGCU